rnacentral:tmRNA from 2 species
GGGGCUGAUCUGGAUUCGACGGGAUAAAUGAAACUUAAGGUGCAUGCCGAGGUGAGGCUGGCCUCGUAAAAAGCCUCAACUUUAUAGUUGCAAACGACGACAACUACGCUUUAGCGGCCUAAGACCCGCUAACUAUCCACUCGCGCUUAGUCUGGGAGACGAGGUUCGGAUAGUCAUCUAAAUCAGACUCGUGUGGAAGCUUCUCUCGUAGCUGAAGCAUUAAAACUAAUCGAGAUCGCUGCUAAGUAGCCUGCCACUCGGCGACUUACGCAGUUAACUAAAUGAGAUGGCUAAGCAUGUAGGACCGAGAGCGGAGUUAUUGCGGACGCGGGUUCAAAUCCCGCCAGCUCCACCA